AAACAGUACAACAUCUGCAUCAUCAAUGAAAUACGCCAAGUUUGUGGCAGAGAUCGAGUGGUUGCUCGCUUCGAAAAAAUCAGGCCUUUGCUUCAGUAUCACUACAACUCGUUCAAGUGGGCCUGCGAAAGUAAAAAAUUAGCGGGCGCUUGCAACGAAGAAAACUUGAAGCGUGAUUUGUCAGGUUGCUUGGGCUUCAUUAACACGAAGGUUUCACUCUAUUCCUAUAAUGAACUCAACGUUCAUGACAUCAAAACUGCAUGCAACGCGUUUCAAGAUUACAUAUCGUGCGUGAAACUGGCCGUCGCUUCAAACUGUGGCCACUCCUUCGAUGCGUUGCAGCAUGAAAGUCUCAAGCCAUACGUAGUGGAGCCUUACAAACGUUACAAGUGGGUUUGUCGCAAGCUGCCCCCUCAAGGUAAGGA